AAUCUAUAUCUCAUAUAUUUCCGGCGUUAAGAUGAAAGCGUUAAGAUGAAAAUUUGAGCGGGCGUAAUCCGAUUAUGAGAUAUAGUGUUUCAUUAUUACUCUCUGCAUUUUCUAACUCGUCUUGCCAAAUUCUAAAUCGGUAUCGGCCAUCUUUGCGCAUUCUUCCAGAAAGUUCUUUGUUCAAAUUGGUCGUUGCAGGCAAUUAUGAAAUCUCGUGAACAUUCAUGACAAUUAAUAAUUAUUUUUUUUAUUACGUUUGAGAUCUCUGGUAAAUAUAGAAAUUAGCAUAUGUAAUUUUGCGGUCGAGUAAAUUAGGCGUGAAAUUGCAGCUAUUGAAGUAUUGAAGCGGCCAUGUCUCCGGUAAUUAACUGGAUCGUCAUUAACACCGAUUUGGUUGCUUUGAUCGACGACCGUUUUCGAUGGCAGUGUAAACUCUGUAAGUAAGCUCCGAUAGUCGCAGCGGCCCCGUUAAUUCAAAGAGAACAUUGGACUUACUGAUAUUCCAACCGCAAACGAGAGACGAGAGAUGAGAGAUAACCAUGUGCCAUUGCAUAGAUCAGGCUUUUUGAUCUAAAUUAAUAAUGAGAUACAUUAAGUGGCAUCAGAAUUAUUCAGAUCCAUGUUGAAUAUAUAAAAUUGUGACUAGGAUUUUGAUGAAUCCAGAGAGAUCUUCAGUUUUUUGGCACAUGUUUACACUUUUGUCUGCAAAGAACCACUGAUGCAUAUAGAAAGUAGGGUUUGCAUGUACACACACAUACGUGGAGAAUGCAUCGUGGGAGAUUUUGUAUAGCCGGCGCCAGAUUGAUUCGGUUCACCUAAACCACCAUCCUCUGCCCCUUCCACUGAAAAUCAGGGAGACAGAGAAGGGUGCCAGUGGAUACCGCCCUGGAUUUUCCACCAGCAAGUCGUGGCGAGGAAGGGUGUUUACUCAAGACACGACAAUUCAUUACGUAAUUGAAUUGAAUGAGCCCUCUCCUUCGCUCUACGUCACCCCUCUCCCGGGCGUUUGGCUCGAACGUUAUACGCGUGCGAAUGCUCAGGCACGCGUGUGCGUGGUCUGGCGAUGUAUGCCAGCGAGGGGUGGACUGGGAUUCAGAGGCGGAUUAAGGGUUGGAAUGGAAGUCCGGAAGCCGACGAGUUGGGUCGCAUUCACCUGGCGCGAAGAAGGAUUUGCGGGACAAGACAUUCGUUCACGAGGAUAAGUUCUGUGUAUUUAAUAAGUACUAAGCGAUGAAGAUUUGAAGCAAUACUGCAUCGCAAGGACAAGAAUCAACAUUUCCCUCUGCAAGACAACAAACGCGACGUUCUUCACAAUAAAUCGCGCCCGAAAAAUCGAGAUCGGCAGGAACGAAAUUGAAUUUACGUCGAGCUGACGUAUAUCACCUUCACGGCCCUGAGAGUUCACUUACGUAUCGUCGAGGAAGGAGAGAUAAAGAGAAAAGGAAGGAGGAAAAACGAUACUGGUGAAAGGAGAAGUGGAUAUUGAAAUGUAGAAAUAUAUAAAAGCUGAGAGAAUGAGACAGCAUGACAGAAGAAAUGCAUUUGUCGCGAGAAACAUGCAGGGCUGGUUUCUACAUCGGUAAAUCUACAUUGUCUCGCGCAGAAGAUCGACUAUCCGAUGACCGAUAACGAGGCCGGACAAAAAGGAAAAGCUUCGACCGCGGAGAGCAUCGGAUUAAUUACCGCGCACCCGCGGCGGCCUCUUUCUGCCUCCAGGUAAACAUAGCGGCCCUGGCGGCUGCACGCGAGAGUGGUAGGAUGGUCGUCGGACGGCAUCCUGGCCAGCGGCGAGGGGUGGUUUCCCCGCGAGCGUUCCUGCGGCGGGCGGAAAAGCGGGCGCAAAUGCUAAUGAGCGUCGGUUUAGGGGUGGAGUGUACCUGCCUCCCGGAAGGGAACGAGGGGUUGCGAGUCUGGGUCGUGACUUGGGUGGAACGAAAAGGAGGGAGAAGCUGGCGAGCUGCGCCACCGGGGCGUUUCUAUCACGCCCAUUCGCGUGCGGAUUGGCCGGCGGUCGAAUGGCGCCCUGGGCGACGCGUGGCGUCGCGACGCCGACGUCGUGAUGUGCCUCCCGUCGACGUGUCCCCCGGCCGACGGUUCUCCUCGCGACGGCGGCGGCCGAGAGCCGUCGGUGUCGAGGCGCGACGUCGCGCGCGAGAGUCGCCCCGAUAAUCGCGAGGAUGGAGCAGCUCGCACAGUUCGUCUCCAAGAGCUUUGACAACGCGGCAGCAGCGAGCGUCGAGGCCGGUUGCAGAGCGGCUGCCGGGGGCAGGAUUACGCUCAGUGUCGCGCAUCUUAUCGGCGAUCACGCUGUGGACGACGGUGAUCGACAUGAAGGCGCGCACGAGGCUGCGAUCGGCAUAGAGACGAGCGGAAGCAUCGAAGAGCCGCCGUCGCCAGAAGGCCGGCUGCAACCGGAGGAUCUUUCGGUCACGGCCAAGAUCAAGGACAUUCGGGACACCGCGGAGAGUUUGCCGCCUCUGAAAACGCCUGAGCUGAAGCUGUCAGUUCGCAAAUUGCUCGGAUGUACCCCCUCACCGCCGCCCAUUUCGAGAGAUCGAUCAGCCAGUCCGGAGAACUGCGUCGAAUUGAAAAGUCAAAGCUCGAGUGACGGUAAAACAACUAUAUCCAGCAGUGACCAGGCCAAAGUGUCCUCGCAGGUUUCAAGGUCGAGUGGCCAUAGCCAAGAAGAGUCUACCAAGGGAUCCAGUUGUCGGAGUAACGGAAACGGCAACGGCAAGCAAAGGAGAUCGCGGACAAAUUUCACUAUUGAGCAGUUGGCCGAGCUGGAGAGACUCUUUGACGAGACACAUUAUCCCGACGCAUUUAUGAGGGAGGAGUUGAGCCAGCGACUUGGUCUCAGUGAGGCGCGGGUGCAGGUCUGGUUCCAAAACCGACGCGCCAAGUGUCGUAAGCAUGAGAGCCAGCUGCACAAAGGUGUCGCCGGAAGCAUGGUGCUGGCGCCGCGUAGUCCACCGACGACGUUAGAACCCUGUCGAGUGGCACCUUACCUGCCGGCGCUCAGGUUGCACCCGCCGCCGAUUCAGGGAACAGGCGCCAGUGUCACGGUGGGCUCGGCCUUUGACCCGGCGGUGCUGCACUAUGCGGCGGCCGGCGGUCUGUUUUGUCUACCGCCACCACCGCCUCCGGCGCCGUCGGCCGGUCAUCCUCCCCAUCCGCUGAGUCUGGCAGCGUCGCUAGCCGCUGCGGCGGCCCGCUCGAAAACAGCAGCAUCGCCGACCUCAGGCUGAAAGCGAGGCGGCACCAGGAGGCCUUGGGGCUCGAUAGGCCCGCGUAAGACCUACAGUGCGUCUUGGACGACAAAAAUUCGACGAGGAUGAAGGAGGACGAUCGGGAUCAGAAAGGACUUUGCUAUUUGCGAUUCAGAGCUGUGUGAAGAAAGGAUUGAAAGUGGAUUGAAACAGUAAUCGCGAUUUGACUAAAAGCUCAAUCUUGAACAUAGUAUAUCCACUUAAGAACUUCACUGUACCUACGAAAUGAAUCGCUUCGCGCACGAUUAUUCGUGUACUUCUCCCGAUACCUCGUUCGAGCCUGAGAUGGAAGCCGAUAAUCCGGAAAUGCAGUCCUUUACCAGAUAGGGUGAGAUGCACGCAAAUAGACCGAGAGUAGUCACGCGUCGGCGAUAAGAGAGAGAGAGUGUGUGUGUGCAACGAUAAAGAAAGAGGGGAGCGGGUGCGAGCGAAAAAGUGGAAGAAACGAGGAGCUAAACGCGAGUUUCCGCCCCUCUGGGCAGAUCCGAUACGGAAUCAAUUCGCGUAAUAGUUUCGUGGGGUGGAAGGGAAAGAAAGAGAGAGAGAAAGAGGUGGUCCGGAUGGUUAAAUCGACUGGCGGUCGCAGGGGUGGGUUAACUGAAGCGAGAGCUCGGAUACGGGCCAUUACCACACCUGUCCCUCAACUUCGACUUCGCAGGAGGCGAGCCCAGCAAGCUCUAAUGAAGAGAAGCAAUCACUUAAACCGAUCCGUUACAUACCCGGUGUGCCCUGGGGCGAUACAGUUUUAUUUGCGCGGCGCCGAUACGCUUUUACGGUUCACUCGGGGGAGUGCUCGUCGGCGACGAGAUGCGAGCGAACGGGACAACAGAGCGUGUCCCGUGUUUGCCGACCCGAAUCGCUCCUCCGGGACAGCCUGGAUCAUUUGUAAUGCGAGAUCGUUAACUGUUCGAUGAUUCGCGAAUCGGAAAGAAUGUUGGAAUGUUGAGACUCUUUCGUUCUCUCUCCGAGAUAUCGAAUUUGAAGGAACUGUGAUAACAAAGACGCACCAGUGAAUGAAAUCCGUUAAAAGAGACAAUUGUAAAAUUAGUUUAUAACUGUAAUAUGUGAAGGAAUUGGGUUCGACAGUUUUAUUUUGUGUCAAAUUAAUAGUCGACUCAUUAUUUGAAAUUAUUAUAUAUACGAAUAUCAAUAUAACUCGUUACUUACCGUUCACAUCUGAAAAAUUAUAUCACUUUUAUUACAGGUGAAUUCUAAAUCAAAGCAAAUGUAACGAUACGUAUUUUUAUCACGUAACUCAAAAAGAAAUGUUAUGUAUUUUGAAUGAGAGAUGCGAAAAAUUAACUACGAAAUAAGAUAGAAAAAAAAAACAGAUAAAUAAUGAAAGUAUUACGGAUCUUCAUACAAAAUUAUCACCAAAAAAAAUGUAACUAACAUCAAAGUGAAUUUAGGAUAAACUUCAUCGCUAAAGAAGACUCGCAACGCUACUCGGUAUUCGUCAAAAUUUAUUUUCGAAUGAAAUGUAGUCACGUAGCGCACAGAGAACCAAGACAACGAACGCAGUAUGGAGAGUUAAGAAUGUGAGCUGGUAUAAUUUCAAUGUCUUCAAUCUUGGAUGCUAUAGAUACGAACAAGUUAAAUACCAGCCACUCUAAAAAUAAAAUUUUGAUAUAAUUUUCCUAUGAUAUUGUUUUGGGUGUAACGAAUAAUUUUAGAUUGCCUCUUUAUACAGAAAACAUAUAACUUUCACUAUAACACUAUUUUACUUUGCUAUUAUAUAUUUAUAUUACUACAAUUUAUAAUAUUUAUAAUAUUUCUAAUAAAUUACAAUCGUAAAUUAGCUAGAUUUUACAUUAAGUAUUUUUUUUUUUUUUUUUCAAAAAACUGUAUUAUAUCACUGUUACACCCACAGAGAUCAAUUUCACGCAUCUGUAGCAUGGAUAUCCGAAGCCAACGAAAUUAUACCAGUUUCAAUCCUGGAUAUGGACCGUCUGAUUGUACGCGUGCAGUACAGUAUGUACAAUGUAGCGCUACAGCAUACGAUUCGGACAGUUAAUUAACGGAAGAAGCUUGGCGGCAGGAAGCAAUAAAAUGUUCCCGUAAACACAUUGCAACAACAUGCAUUGAUCUUAAUCCUACGAUUUCAAUCCUUAAGGAUUAAAAGAAUUCGAAUCCCUUAUCUGCUGUCCGAAUAGAUGGAUCCACAAUACUCAAAUCGAUACUUGUACGCACUUAUACGUGACGCUUUAUAAUGUGUAAAGCCGUCCGACUCGAUUACAAUAACGAAUUCGCGUUCGGAGAGAAAACGAUUCAUAAUUAGACGGAAAAUUGCCGAAGCUAUAAAAUACAAUAUCAAGUGUGUAUCAUUCACCCUUAGAUGAUGGAUUUACAGUGUGAUUGCCAUAAUUUAAAACGGUAUGAUGGUCGAUUCAGCUGUGCACAGGAUGUUUAAGAAAUUUUCACCUAAUUACAAGUUUUUUAAUAAAUUUUUUUGUCAAAUUUAUCACCGAUUUUUUUUUAUUUUUGAUAAGUAAUCCGUAACUUCUGGAUAGGAUUUUUCAGUUUAGAAGUGUAUCUAAAUUCUUGUUUACUUUUAAGCAAACUUUAUAUAAAACUUUAUAGAAAAUCUGUUUUUCUUUGUAAGAAGAAUAUAUUUUCUUUGUAAGAAGAAUAUAUACUUUAUGUUGAACAAGGAUAGUGUUGUAACAUUCUGUGCAUGGCUGAAUACACUUUAUGUUUCGAAAGAUCAAGAGUUAUACAAAGAGGUACACAUACGAAACUGUCUUUAUCGCUCUUCCGAGAUCGGCAGCACCCUUUCGUUGCAUAUUGACAGACGUAAACGUGUCGUGUCGGAAAGAAUAUAGAAGAUAAUGUUUUGUGUUUCUUUUGUUUCUGUCCGUGCGAGACUUACAUGCGACGUUACUACUGAGCACUAGAAGAGAUUACCCUUAAGUACUAGGCAGUCAAGGUAAUAUGCAAUAAUAAAAAAAAAACACCGUGUAUGUAUUCUAUUACCGAGUGUAGAUACUGGAUAGAGAAAUUCGCCGGCGCUUGCGAGAGAAAACAGUGAAGCAAAAAAAAAAGUACAUUACGGCAUAUCAACGAUCUCUUGAACUGCAUCUUGGCAGAACUUUUCGUGCCGCAAGGAUAGGAUAAUCAGGUACUAGGAACAGCCCUAUACAGAGUUCCGAUCCUUUGAAAAGGGAAAGACACGAUCGAUCGACGUCCGAUCGAGAAGUCAAGCUCCAUAUACUGUAAUUUCUGAUUUUUACCACAAGUUCUCGAGUUUCAAUUCACCACACGCUUCUCGAUCGGAAUGAGAGAAGGUAUAGUCUGUAUAUAGCUCUAUAUAUAUAUAUAUAUAUAUAUACACAUCUAUAAUAUAUAGUUUCUUUCACAAUACGAAAUAAUGGUAAUAAUAUUGUAAAAGUCUACGUCAUAAUCUAGUUCCGCAUCAACGAAGCCGUUGCCUGGUAAAUAUUGAUUGUACUCGAUUCUACUAUGUUUUGCAAAUACUCGGAGGAUUCGCAGACACACGUGAGCAUACCUAAUAGUACAUCCUAAAGUUACUUCUAUCUGAUAGAAAGCGUCUCGGCCAGAGAUUUACAGCCAAGGCCGAAAGUGUUAAGAGUGUGAGUAAUGAUUUGAAAGUUUCAAAGGAUAGGAACCCGCUCCGAACACUGCCCGCACGAGGAUUCAUUAUGAUUAAAUAUAAUACACACCGUAUAAUAAUUACAAUAAUUAUAGUAUUAAUUAAGAAUUAUUAUGUUAAUAGUUAUUUAACCAUGUGUAUGGCUCAGUCUAUUAAGCUAGUCUCAUGCAACAACAACAAUAAAGAUACAACAAUAUAUUUACUUGUGAGUUUGUCGAGUUUCAAUUUAUGUCACUUAUUAUUUUGUGUCUGCUCUAGUUUACUCUUAUUUUUUUUUUUUUUGUUUUUUUCUCUUGUUUUCUUCGGUUGCAAUCACCCCGUUAUUAUAUAUCCCCAUACAUACUUCUUCGCACUCAAUUUUUACUCACGAUAGAAAAAACUGGAAAUUUCAAAUAUCAAUCAACAUUGAUCACUUUUCAGUCCUAUCAUUGUAAUAUUUAAUAUAAUAAUUAUAUAUAAAUAGACGAUCUCACCGUUACUUCACAAUCAUUUAUAAAUUUAUUACUUCGAUCUUAUCUUGACUGAGAGCUUUUUAAUAGCGUAUUAAUAAAUAAUUGCGAGCCACAUGAUCCCUCGACGAGAAACGUAUGGAUAAAAUGGAUUGUAGAAACUGUAUGUACCAGAAAAUCUAUACCGAAGUCAAAAAGAAAUAUAUAUAUUUACAACGACGAUGGAACACACUCUAGAUUGUAUUGCGAUACGAAAUUUCAUGUAGUAAUCCAAGAUCGAUGCGACAACGAGCAUUUUGUUUCUUCAUCACUGCCAAGAUCUUUCGUCUAGCUUAGGAACUAUCGAGAGGUGAACUAUACAACUUGUGUGCAAAUUGCCGUUAACUGUUAUUAAAUCCUUAAAAUGUAAGUCGGUGAAAGUGAGGUGAUAACGAUGUCGAUUUUGCGUAUGCAAUAUUUACACAUCCUAUACAUAUACGCGCGAUAGAAAAAAAAUUAAAAUAGUGACUAUGAAUUUUUUCUAUUUAGAUUUGCGUCGAGUGGCAUGUGGUUCGAAUUUUAUGUUUGUUUUUACUUUUUUCAAGCUCUUAAGUAAUUAUAAAAAACAGUAAUAUCACAAAAAUGGCGCAGGCAGGGCAAGGAAAGGGGCCAGAGUUUAGGGAUAAAAUUAUGACAAUAUACAUAUAUAAUAUCUAUAUUGCCAAGUUGAACGAGUGUGGAUUAAGUCAAGGAGCGGCCACGAAAUUCACCUAAUUCUCCGUGCAGAAUCUUUCUUCCGCAGGAACACAAAGAGACCGAACAGAAGUCUGUUGCAUGUGCCGUAAAUGACAAUGGAAGGAUGUAGAAUUACCCUUAUUCGAUAAGCGACGACAAAGCAUCUUUAUCGUAGUGUACUCAAUGUUUUAAUUCUUCAGUCGAAAUGAGAUUAGAACAUAAUCCUUUUUUUUAACGUUUUUCUCGCCCGCGCUAGUUCAAUUUCCCCCAGUCACUGGAUUUUUAUUGAUUAAUUUCAAAGUUUGAUUGACAAUAGCGACUUAAUGAUGGUCAGUUUUUCCAGGUUGAGCUUUCUUCCUUUGUAUUUUUUUUUCUCUUUUCUUACUUAAUUCCAAUGAUUGAAAAGAUGAAAAUUAAAAUAAUUUUUUUCUUUUAUAUCGUAAAACUAUUUAGAAAUCGUUUUUGAAGGAUUUUGCAACAAAUCAGAGAUUAUAUUUACUUAAAUCUCAAUAUAACACAUUUAUAUAAAUUUUGUCACAAUAUCAGUGAAUUAUAAUUCUUUUCCCACGUUUUUUAAAGUGAAAAACGAAAGAUAAAAGCGUGCAUCAUUUAAAGUAAAGAGUUGCUCGUUUCUUUGAACUGGCCCAAGUAACUGGAAUGACACAAUCUGUCCUCGAUUUCUUUCUCUUCUUGUUUCUCUCAAAAACGAUUU